rnacentral:sRNA from 1 species
CUUUAAAAAUCUGGAUCAAGCUGAAAAUUGAAACGACACACUGUUCAAGUGUGUUCGAGUCUCUCAAAUUUUCGCGACACGACGAUGUUUUACGAAACAUCUUCGG